rnacentral:rRNA from 1 species
AGCUCCAAUAGCGUAUAUUAAAGUUGCUGCAGUUAAAAAGCUCGUAGUUGGAUCUCGGGGUACCUGGUCUAGCCGGUAUAGCUCACGCUAAAACUGGUCUGACCCCCCAACGUGAGGUAUUCGUCUCCGGGUGCACUUCAUUGGGUGCUCGUGAGGGGCCUCGUAGUUACUGUGAAAAAAUUAGAGUGUUCAAAGCAGGCUCAUAUGUUCGGAUAGUCGUGCAUGGAAUAACUGAAUACGUGACUGGCGCUUUUCAGUUGGUCUCGGCGACUGGUCAAAUGAUUAAGAGGGACUGCCUUGGAUCCUCGCCAGACCAACAAAAGCGAAAGCAUUUGCCAAGAAUGUCUUCA